rnacentral:rRNA from 1 species
UACGGAGGGUGCAAGCGUUAUCCGGAUUCACUGGGCUUAAAGGGUGCGUAGGUGGGCUAGUAAGUCCGUGGUGAAAUCCCCGAGCUUAACUCGGGAACUGCCGUGGAUACUAUUAGUCUUGAAUAUCGUGGAGGUAAGCGGAAUAUGUCAUGUAGCGGUGAAAUGCUUAGAUAUGACAUAGAACACCGAUAGCGGAGGCAGCUUACUACGCGAUUAUUGACACUGAGGCACGAAAGCGUGGGGAUCAAACAGG